GACGAACGCUGGCGGCGUGCUUAACACAUGCAAGUCGAACGGAAAGGCCCUGCUUUUGUGGGGUGCUCGAGUGGCGAACGGGUGAGUAACACGUGAGUAACCUGCCCUUGACUUUGGGAUAACUUCGGGAAACUGGGGCUAAUACCGGAUAGGAGCUCCUGCUGCAUGGUGGGGGUUGGAAAGUUUCGGCGGUGGGGGAUGGUCUCGCCGCUUAUCAGCUUGGUGGUGGGGUUGUGGCUUACCAAGGCUUUGACGGGUAGGCGGCCUGAGAGGGUGGCCGGCCACAAUGGGACUGGGAUACGGCCCAGGCUCCUACGGGAGGCAGCAGUGGGGAAUAUUGCACAAUGGGGGGAAGGCUGAUGCAGCAACGCCGCGGGCGGGGUGACGGCCUUCGGGUUGUAAACCGCUUUCGCCUGUGACGGAGCGUGAGUGACGGUAAUGGGUAGAGGAGCACCGGCUAACUUCGUG
rnacentral:rRNA from 1 species